CCUACGGGGGGCAGCAGUGGGGAAUAUUGCACAAUGGGGGAAACCCUGAUGCAGCGACGCCGCGUGAGUGAGGAAGUAUUUCGGUAUGUAAAGCUCUAUCAGCAGGGAAGAAAAUGACGGUACCUGACUAAGAAGCCCCGGCUAACUACGUGCCAGCAGCCGCGGUAAUACGUAGGGGGCGAGCGUUAUCCGGAUUUACUGGGUGUAAAGGGAGUGGAGACGGUAUAUCAAGUCAGAAGUGAAAACCCAGGGCUCAACCGUGGGACUGCUUUUGAAACUGGGUAGCUAGAGUGCAGGAGAGGGAAGCGGAAUUCCUGGUGUAGCGGUGAAAUGCGUAGAUAUUAGGAGGAACACCAGUGGCGAAGGCGGCUUACUGGACAGAGACUGACGUUGAGGCGCGAAAGCGUGGGGAGCAAACAGGAUUAGAUACCCGUGUAGUC
rnacentral:rRNA from 1 species